ACCAUCAGGAAGUUGAUAGUCAAGUUUACAUGUGAAUAGCUAUGGGUUUGCUUCUUGACUUCCCCAGCAGGAAAAUUGUGACCAUUUUGAAAUUUAGCAGCUAUGCCAGGCCUAUUGGCUGGAAACUUAAAACUUUUACGUUCAAAUCAUCUAUGGGGCAAGAAGUGUGCUUGCCUAGCGGAUUUAUUUUUAUGUCAAAUUCUUUAAAAGGCACUGAUAGCAGUAAUCCAAUUUCUAAAGUAAAGUACGAUUAUUUCAGGUAGAAACUGCUUUCUGUAAAUUGAUCUGUCCUUAUUGCUUAAAUAUGUAUCUGUGUCUCUUAAAAAAAAUUUGAAUGUAUUGCUAAUCUGAGGACUGUUAAUUAUUUACAUGUAACCUAAAAAUUAAGGUUAAGAGUUCUAACUAACUGGAAAGCAUGGCUUUGAUGUGAUGGGAGGAAAAAAUAAAAUGUUGAAUGAGUGGUAGGCCAGUGAGCUGGGACUGGUCACUGGUGGAUUGUGAGAAGGCCUGGACGUGGCCUAAUUUCUCCUUCCUUGGUACCCCUGAAACGUCAGAGGGUACUUCUGGCCUUGGUUUUCUUGUUUUUUGGUCUUGGAUUUGUUUGUUUGUUUGUUUUUGAUGAAAA